CCUACGGGGCGCAGUAGUGAGGAAUAUUGGUCAAUGGACGAGAGUCUGAACCAGCCAAGUAGCGUGAAGGAUGACUGCCCUAUGGGUUGUAAACUUCUUUUAUAUGGGAAUAAAACGUUCCACGUGUGGGAUUUUGUAUGUACCAUAUGAAUAAGGAUCGGCUAACUCCGUGCCAGCAGCCGCGGUAAUACGGAGGAUCCGAGCGUUAUCCGGAUUUAUUGGGUUUAAAGGGAGCGUAGGUGGAUUGUUAAGUCAGUUGUGAAAGUUUGCGGCUCAACCGUAAAAUUGCAGUUGAAACUGGCAGUCUUGAGUACAGUAGAGGUGGGCGGAAUUCGUGGUGUAGCGGUGAAAUGCUUAGAUAUCACGAAGAACUCCGAUUGCGAAGGCAGUUCACUGGACUGCAACUGACACUGAGGCUCGAAAGUGUGGGUAUCAAACAGGAUUAGAUACCCUAGUAGUC
rnacentral:rRNA from 1 species